CCUACGGGUGGCAGCAGUAGGGAAUCUUUCACAAUGGGCGAAAGCCUGAUGGAGCACCGCCGCGUGCAGGAUGAAGGCCUUCGGGUUGUACACUGCUUUUAUAAGCGAGAAAUAUGAUGGUAACUUAUGAAUAAGGAUCGGCUAACUACGUGCCAGCAGCCGCGGUCAUACGUAGGAUCCGAGCAUUAUCCGGAGUGACUGGGUGUAAAGAGUUGCGUAGGUGGCAUAAUAAGUAGCUAGUGAAAUCUGGUGGCUCAACCAUUCAGACUAUUAGCUAAACUGUUAAGCUCGAGACCGUUAGGGGUAACUGGAAUUGCUAGUGUAGGAGUGAAAUCCGUAGAUAUUAGAAGGAACACCAAUAGCGUAGGCAGGUUGCUGGGACGGUUCUGACACUAAGGCACGAAAGCGUAGGGAGCAAACGGGAUUAGAUACCCUUGUAGUC
rnacentral:rRNA from 1 species